AGAUCGUGAUGUGGGCAUUUCCUUAAUAACUCCUUGAACUUUUCCCAUGUCUCGUACAAAGAUUCCCCGUACUCUUGAGAGUAUGAGUUAAUUUUAGCCAUGAGUUU
rnacentral:snoRNA from 2 species